CAGAAUUUAAUUAUUUCCGCAAUUGAUCAACGUGUCAAACGUUUCAGCACAAUCAGCUUAUAUUAGAAUGGCAAUAACCGACCACGCGCUGUUUAGAACUUUGGCUAAAACGCUGUUGGGUUUCUUGAGUUGAUAUGUUAAAGCAAUAUUUGAAAGCCCAAAUCAAACCAAUGGAUUUGUUCGUAAAGGAUGCAAGUGUCAAUUAUGUGAUAAUCCUGGACUCCACCAUUGUUCUGAAUGUAAAAUCUUCAUGUGUGAAGAUUGUAAGACUUUGCAUAACAAAUUUCCUGGACAGAACCAGCAUACUGUGCUAUCCAUUGACGAACUCGACACUCCUGAAGGUCAGGCAAAAAUUAAGAGGAUAGGUUAUUGUCAAAAGCAUCCUGGGAAAGUUUGAGGUUUUACUGUGAAACAUGCAAGGAAUUGUGUUGCAAUGAUUGCCUGCUACUUUAUCACAUGUAACAGAAUCACUCCUGUAUAUCAGUGCAGGAGGUUGCCGCAACUCAGCUCGAUAAACUCAUUUCGAUUACUGCCAAAAUGGAGGGAAAUUUAACUGAAGGAAAGAAAGCUCUCGAUUGCGUUGCAGCAAGAUAACAUCUUAAAGGUUGUCUCAGACAAACUAGAGAAAAAGGCUGUUGAACUGUGUGAAGAGGUUUAUUUGAAGCACGAUAAGCUGCUUCAGGAGCUUAUAAAACAACAAGAACAAAUUCAACAAUAUGUCGAUAAUGUGUAAGACAACUGUAAAAGUGCCCAAAAGUUCGCUAGAACAGCCAUUGCCACUUCAAACAUUGAAUCAGAUGAUGAGUCAAUCAACGACAAGCCACGAAAACGUCCUCGUCUCAAAAGGAGUAUGGAAGAAUUUCCAGAUUACACUAACAUAGAAAACGAUGAUGACAGUGAUGAACCCGUAAUUCAACAAAGAGCCCCUCAGUUACCUCCUGCUCCACGUUACGCAUCUUUUAGUGCGAACAAUUUUCCGGUGUACCGCGAGCUGAUCUCCCUUGCAGAAAAAGAUUUAUAUGACGGUGAACUAGCACCAGAAAUCCUAAACACAAAGGAUCAUGCAAUAACUUCCACAUCUACUAGUAAGACACCAUCUCAGCGUAGUGGUAAGUUUUCUGUCAUCAGAACUGACUAAUCAACAACUUUCAUCUAAUAUGUCGACUGAAUUUUUGAA